UACGGAGGGGGCUAGCGUUGCUCGGAAUUACUGGGCGUAAAGCGCUCGUAGGCGGACCAGCAAGUUAGGGGUGAAAUCCCGGGGCUCAACCCCGGAACUGCCUUUAAAACUGUUGGUCUGGAGGUCGAGAGAGGUGAGUGGAAUUCCGAGUGUAGAGGUGAAAUUCGUAGAUAUUCGGAGGAACACCAGUGGCGAAGGCGGCUCACUGGCUCGAUACUGACGCUGAGGUGCGAAAGCGUGGGGAGCAAACAGG
rnacentral:rRNA from 1 species